GGAAGGUUAAGCCGAGUGAGGACUAACGGCAGCAGUCUUGAAAACUGUUUAGGUGUAAAAGCCUGUGUGGGUUCGAGCCCCACACCUUCCGC
rnacentral:tRNA from 1 species